GCUUCCCUCCUGCGAAGCCCUUCCUCGGGGCGCUGUGCAGCGAGGCCCCUUGGGCGGUGGCAACGCCGUGGCCCCGGAGGUUCCGGAGCCGGUCCUAUGGUGCCCGGCGCUCAGAAGUGAUGAACUGAUCAGAUAGACGAGGCCGGUCUUGUCCCGCGCCAUUGAUUAUCGAGGCGAUUCUGAUCUG